UUCAGCAGUGGUUACAAGCAAACUGCAGUUCAACUCAUCUCCAGUGCCCAGUCAGGAUCUGGUCCUCAAAGCUAUCAGUGAUCUCCGAAACUCCAGAGAGUCACAACUCAAUGAAUCAGUCAAGCUGCUGAAUGUGACCUACGAGAAAAUCUCUGAAAACUCUUAUGAGGUCAAAUUAACAUUUGCUGUGAGUAACAUCAGCAUGCCAGUGGACAUUAAACAAAGAAACAGCACCUUAACACAUCUCCAGGAUGUUGUCAAUGUUGCGGUGAACACUCUUCUGAAUGAGCCUGGCAAAGCGUCUCUGCAACCCAACUCCUCCAGUUUCCUGAGCACACCAAACCAAAUUAAUGGCUCUUUGAAUUAUAUCAUCCGAGAUGGAGAUGCCAUACAACCAGUCAGCUUCCUACAAAAGCUCCAGUCACUCAAGGG